AUUGAACGCUAGCGGCAUGCCUUACACAUGCAAGUCGAACGGUAACAGGUCUUCGGAUGCUGACGAGUGGCGAACGGGUGAGUAAUAUAUCGGAACGUGCCCAGUAGUGGGGGAUAGCCCGGCGAAAGCCGGAUUAAUACCGCAUACGACCUGAGGGUGAAAGGGGGGGAUUCGCAAGAACCUCUCGCUAUUGGAGCGGCCGAUAUCAGAUUAGGUAGUUGGUGGGGUAAAGGCCUACCAAGCCUGCGAUCUGUAGUUGGUCUGAGAGGACGAGCAGCCACACUGGGACUGAGACACGGCCCAGACUCCUACGGGAGGCAGCAGUGGGGAAUUUUGGACAAUGGGCGCAAGCCUGAUCCAGCAAUGCCGCGUGCAGGAAGAAGGCCUUCGGGUUGUAAACUGCUUUUGUCGGGGAAGAAAUCCUCUGGGUUAAUACCUCGGGGGGAUGACGGUACCUGAAGAAUAAGCACCGGCUAACUACGUGCCAGCCGCCGCCGUAAUAC
rnacentral:rRNA from 1 species